GGAAAGCUGGGCUAAGCCCUGGGGCACCCUGGGAGUCGUAGUUUUUCGCCGUCGAGGAGUUCCUGCCGAGCGGGCUCACCCCGCCCGGUUGCCAUUAGUUACCCGGACGCACCUCCCACCCCACCACCAGAAAAGGAAAGCUGAAGCAGAAAGGCUAAAAGCAACUUGCCCCCGGGGUCCUGAUAAGUUGGCAAAUUGGGAAUUAGACCCAGAUCUGCCUGACACCAGAGUCUGAGCCUUUGAACACUGCCUGUCUUUCCUGUGAAAACCAGACAGCACCCGCUCUCAGUAAGGACUGAAUAUAUGUAUUUG
rnacentral:lncRNA from 1 species